UGAUUAGUGAGACUGGAAGGAGAAACUAAUUGCACAGCCCAGGCCCGCUCCCUUCAAAACUCUUGGUGUGUCCAGUGUCCUGUCUGGCAGACAAGUGGCUUUGAUCUCACCCUUCAGGAUCUCAAAGGAAUCACUCUUCUCUCAUGUGAAACAAGGAAAUAAGAUAAGGGGACAGGAAAACAUGGGAAACACGGGAAACGGAGUCAGUGCGUCCCGCAUGGCUUUUCAAAUGUGGAAACAACUUCGGACAACUUAACUCCAGCAGAUGCAGCCUCUCUAAGAUGAAAGAUUCUCAAACUCCAUUGGUGUCUGCAGCUCUCAGAAGAAAAAGACAAAGAACAGGCUGAAAGAGAAGAUCAUGUAGUCCAUUACCAUCACCUUUUGGCAUUGAAUAACUGGCUCUGGCUUUGCUCAAAGAACCACAGAUCUCCACGCCAUGUGACAUAAGAGCAGAAAACAUAAAGAUCAGCAAAUUUCCUUGUCUCUGCCUCUGCAUAUUUUUGUCAUUAUCUCUGAAGUUUCUCAUUUUGUACAGGUUUUGUAAGUAGCCUUUACUGUAAAUACCCUAUACUAUGUGACAGGGAUUGUGUUAAGUGCUCUACUUGAGUCAUCUAAUCCUCAGCACACGUCUCUGAGGUAGGUGCCACUUUUAUACCUGUUUUACCGAAGAGGAAGUAGAGGCUGAAGGGGUUUGUCUGCAGCACCAGCUAAUUAUAAGUGACAAGGCUGGGACUCAAACCCACACCAUAUGACCCCCAGACACUCACUCUCCCCUUUGAUGUUCCCUGGUGGGCAUAGAGUGUGACAGUCCUUUGUGGUCCUGGGUGUACAACUUGGUGAGAUGGAAUGAUUUCUCCUGGCUACUUCAAAUUUCCCCUAGCUUAACAUGAACUUUGAGGCUGCAGCCUGGUGGAGAGUCAACACAACCAAGCCUCUUAACAUUUCAUAAGUAGCCUGAUGACACACUUGUAUAGAGUAGAGGAAUCCUUUACACGUCAGCAAAUAA